rnacentral:rRNA from 1 species
AGCGAACGCUGGCGGCAGGCCUAACACAUGCAAGUCGAACGAACUCUUCGGAGUUAGUGGCGGACGGGUGAGUAACACGUGGGAACGUGCCUUUAGGUUCGGAAUAACUCAGGGAAACUUGAGCUAAUACCGGAUGUGCCCUUCGGGGGAAAGAUUUAUCGCCUUUAGAGCGGCCCGCGUCUGAUUAGCUAGUUGGUGAGGUAAAGGCUCACCAAGGCGACGAUCAGUAGCUGGUCUGAGAGGAUGAUCAGCCACAUUGGGACUGAGACACGGCCCAAACCCUUCCGGAGGGCGGAGGUGGGAAUCCUGCGCCAUGGGCGAAAGGCCUACGGCGCCCAGGCGGGGGAAUUAUGGAGGUUCUAGGAUUGUAAAAUUCUUUCACCGGGGACGAUAAUGACGGUACCCGGAGAAGAAGCCCCGGCUAACUUCGUG